ensembl:lncRNA
AGUCCAUCUGAGCACUGUGCUCCAUUGAGCCUCGGGCAUGGGGAGGAGCUGGCUGGCUGGGGCUGCAGGAGCCCUGCUGCUGUUGGGCUGCAUUGAAGGUUGGUGAGGGCUGGAAGGGAGAACGCUGGCGUUGUGGAUGGGAGGUAACGGCCACCGGUUGCGCUGGGGGAGGUUCAGGUCGGGUGUUAAGAACGGUGGAGUCACGGUCCCUGGAGGUCUUCAAGAUGGAAUGGGGUGGAUUUGAGUCUGUCCUCUUGGGAAACCUCCCAUACUGGGAGUUAGGGAGUCAAGGUGCCAGCCAAGAGCUCUGCAACACGCAGCCUAUCUUCUGCAAGCUUCCUCAAGAUGCUGGUCUGAUGGAGCCGGAGACCUGCAGCCCCCUAGGUGAUUUUCCCCCACCAGCUCUCCUACCAAACAUCUCCUCAGCUCAGGAAGGCAAUCUGGUGCUCGCCCGCUGCCUGGUUUUCUCCCAUCUCCCCAUCACCCACAUCUUCUUCUGCAAGAACGGAGUGGUGCUGGAGAACCACCCCGUGGGUCCCAAGGAAUUCACAGCCACACUCACCAUCCGGCUUUCUGCGGAGAGCAGUGGCACCUACUCCUGUGGGUACCGACGGCAAAGCAACGUUGGGCACAUCAAGAUCUCAAGUUUGAGCAUCCCAUGGCUCCUGACCAUCGAAGGUAGGAAGGGGGAGCUGAGGAACAGCAGCAGCACCGCCACCACCACCCCAGAGCUGCCAGCUGAAGGAAAGCGAGUCCAGCUGGCCAGCUUGAAGCAUUUCGUUCAUCCCCCAGUGGAAGAGCCCAGCGUUUCACAGAGGAAGAGUCCUCCAGGAUCUCUUGCAUCUGGAUGACUUCUUGUUGGACCACAGACGUGCUCUUGGAUGUGAAUAUUGCAGCCCUCAAUGGACAUAGCAGGGGGAAUUGGCCCAAGACAGAAUCCCUUAGGCUCAACACCAGCUGCUCUGCAUAGGCAAGAACCAACAGCACCUCUCCAGAUGUUCCAGUGCCAUAGCAACAGCUCUUGGACGUGGAAGUCCAUCAAUUAAUUAAAA